rnacentral:rRNA from 1 species
UACGGGGGGGGCAAGCGUUGUUCGGAAUUACUGGGCGUAAAGGGCCAGUAGGCGGCCAACUAAGUCCGACGUGAAAUCCCAAGGCUUAACCUUGGAACUGCGUCGGAUACUGGAUGGCUUGAAUUCGGGAGAGGGAUGCAGAAUUCCAGGUGUAGCGGUGAAAUGCGUAGAUAUCAGGAGGAACACCGGUGGCAAAGGCGGCUUCCUGGACAUUGACUGACGCUGAGACGCGAAAGCGUGGGGAGCAAACAGG